CGGAUGUGGCCCCGCCGUGUGACCUUGGGCGAGUCGCUGCGCUGCGCUGGCUCCUUUCCCGAGACCCUACUACGACCGGGCGCUUUACUGGCUGUUGCCUAGCGGUCACGGAACCUGCAGCCCUAUCCUGGGUAUCUGCGAUUCAGAGAAGAAAGCAGGCGGGAGAGGGGACUCUUCAGGGCUGGGGGGCAGUGGGUGGCCCCUGACGCCCGGCCUGUGGUCGCCUGUGAGGAGCCCUCCCACCGCUGUCCCGUGCACAGAGGUAAAUGUCCAGCAUUAAAGAACAUCAAAUGGAGGUCAUCCAGGUGGAGCUGGACAGAGUGUGCUGAGUCUGGUACACACUGGGUCACAAUCCCCUGUCCCAACAAGGCUGAACGAUCCAGAAAUUUGGUCAACACCGCCUCCGUCACUGCUAAGGCCAAGUUUUGCGCCCAAGCCUCCACCUGUAGCCUCCUUCACAGCCCCAAUGCCCCUCUUCCUGGAGUUGGUAAGAAGCUCCACCAGCACUACAGCUGCACAAGUCUGCGUGUGCCGGGUCCUCUGCUUCUCCUGGGCUCCCCCCUGCAGAGGGCAGCUCUCCCACUUCUCCGGCCAGAUGCCCGGCUGCUGGGGGGGUGCACAGACACGUCCGUGCUUCUGCCUGCAUCUGCCAGGUGUUCCAAGUCUUCAAGCCCAGGGAGAGGGGACUCCGGGUUUCAUCUUCCUUUCCUGCCAGAAUUCUUUCCCUUCACUUACCUUCCCCACUCCCUUUGUAACAUUUCAGGCUUCUGGGUUUUGUGAGCUGCCUCGAUUCCCUUGGGGGAACAAAGCUGAGCAUAAAUCAGCUAAGCCCCCCUUCCCUUUUGGCAUUCGGGAGGGUGCAGAGCUGACAUCAGGAUAGUCUUCCUUAUGGCCCUGGCUGGGACGCACAUCUCUGACUGGAGCACCCUGUCUUCUUGCUCCUUGGCAGUCAUGGUUUGGGAAUGAUGGAGGACACUCUGGACAGGGAGUGUCCUAAAGCUCCUACAAAGCCCUGCAGACCACACGGGGGUGACCCCUUUCCCAGGAAGCGUGUGCAUCAGCACCCUAGCAGCAGUCCCCGUUUAGCAACGGCCUGUGAGGUGCCACGUCCUGACCCAUGGCUGCAUUGCAUCUUGAGGCCCAGCAAUGGGAUGCAAAGGGAUGCCUGGGUGGCUCAACAGUUGAAUAUCUGCCUUUGGCUCAGGGCGUGAUCCCGGAG